UCUUGAAUGUCAAAACGACUCUCGGCAACGGAUAUCUCGGCUCUCGCAUCGAUGAAGAACGUAGCGAAAUGCGAUACUUGGUGUGAAUUGCAGAAUCCCGUGAACCAUCGAGUCUUUGAACGCAAGUUGCGCCCGAAGCCUUCGGGCCGAGGGCACGCCUGCCUGGGCGUCACGCAUCG
rnacentral:rRNA from 2 species